rnacentral:rRNA from 1 species
UGAGGAAUAUUGGACAAUGGGCGCAAGCCUGAUCCAGCCAUGCCGCGUGUGUGAAGAAGGUCUUCGGAUUGUAAAGCACUUUAAGUUGGGAGGAAGGGUUGUAGAUUAAUACUCUGCAAUUUUGACGUUACCGACAGAAUAAGCACCGGCUAACUCUGUGCCAGCAGCCGCGGUAAUACAGAGGGUGCAAGCGUUAAUCGGAAUUACUGGGCGUAAAGCGCGCGUAGGUGGUUUGUUAAGUUGGAUGUGAAAUCCCCGGGCUCAACCUGGGAACUGCAUCCAAAACUGGCAAGCUAGAGUAUGGUAGAGGGUGGUGGAAUUUCCUGUGUAGCGGUGAAAUGCGUAGAUAUAGGAAGGAACACCAGUGGCGAAGGCGACCACCUGGACUGAUACUGACACUGAGGUGCGAAAGCGUGGGGAGCAAACAGGAUUAGAUACCCAUGUAGUCCCUGAGCGGGCUGGCAAGGCGCAU